rnacentral:lncRNA from 1 species
AUCCUCUGAAUCACUCCCAGAAGAGCUUCCUGAGUCGGAAUCUGCAUGUUUUUCAAGUCACGGUCAGGCAUUUUCAACCCCCAAUAUUGACAUUACACCAUCACUCUUCUCUGAAUCAUAGGAGUUGGGUUAUACCACUGGAUGAAGAAGAAUCAUCGCUGGAACUACUAGAGCUGCUAGAACUGCUACUAGCAUGACCACCGUUGUGGUCCUUCUCAAUCUCCACUGGCGGAAAGCUGCUCAUC